AUUGAACGCUGGCGGCAUGCCUUACACAUGCAAGUCGAACGGUAACGCGGGGCAACCUGGCGACGAGUGGCGAACGGGGGAGUAAUGCAUCGGAACGUGCCUGGUAGUGGGGGAUAACUGCUCGAAAGAGCAGCUAAUACCGCAUACGACCUGAGGGUGAAAGGGGGGGAUCGCAAGACCUCUCGUUAUCAGAGCGGCCGAUGUCGGAUUAGCUAGUUGGUGGGGUAAAAGCCCACCAAGGCGACGAUCCGUAGCUGGUCUGAGAGGACGACCAGCCACACUGGGACUGAGACACGGCCCAGACUCCUACGGGAGGCAGCAGUGGGGAAUUUUGGACAAUGGACGCAAGUCUGAUCCAGCCAUGCCGCGUGCGGGAAGAAGGCCUUCGGGUUGUAAACCGCUUUUGUCAGGGAAGAAACGCUCUGGGUUAAUACCUCGGGGUAAUGACGGUACCUGAAGAAUAAGCACCGGCUAACUACGUGCCAGCCGCCGCUGUAACAC
rnacentral:rRNA from 1 species